GAGAUGCACACUGCAGCAAGGGCUGCCGGAGGGACUGCGGGUUGCGGCUGUGUGUGCAGGCAGCGCAGCGCUGAGGAAGCCGGCACGCACGGCAGAUGGCCGGCUCUGCUUGCGACAGAUGACCAGGCAAAUGAAGGAAAGCAGAAAUUCUGAGGCCAAAGGGAUGAUAUCAGAAGACUGGCAAGGAGAACCGCAUUCUCCGUGUAACACCACCACCACCGAAAUGCACAGAAGAUGGAGAGGGACACAGAGACUGCAGGCAGAAUUUGCUUCUGAGUUUGUGCACGUCCUGUCCAACAGCACUGAGCAGCACAACAGUGAAUGCAGCAUGAGGAAGUGAGACAAAUUAGAAGAACUGAGUUCUGAUGGUCAGUCUGAGCUGAAAGAGAUGCUACAGUUUCUGUCUGCAACUGAAGCCAAGUGAUCUGUAACGCCUGCAAUUACAGCACUUUACAAACGGAAGAGGAAAGCCUUGACCAUAAGUUGAUUAAUUCUGAACUAAUUUUAAGGGUUUAGAAAACAAAAAAAUACUUCAUUACUAAAGAUUUAAACGUUGCAUGUCUACAUGAAGAAAUAUAUAUUUGCUCAAAGUUCAGAAGAUUGGAGGGUAAAAUUAAUCAUCUUCCUUACGCUUAAUUGCAUUCAGCCUUGAGAUACAUACUUCUAUGAGUUCUGUAAAUUUGGCUUAGGUAUAUUUUUGUAUAGCUAUAGUUAUACAUACAUCUCAUGUUGCUGUUUCUGUUCUCUGAUUGGGAAACGCUGCUUUACUACUGGUAAAGUUGCUCUACAAGCAUUUACAUCCAUUCUACCUUUGAAUACACGUGCACCAUAGCUUACCUGGAGAUGAAGAGAACGGGCUGCUGAGGGAUGUCUUUCCCAGGGGGACUCAUUUUUCCAGGAAGACACCUCUGAUACAGUAUUUCCUCAUGGAGGGCUUCCUGAGCACAGCCACACAAUAUUUAGCGUAAAGGCAUCAGAGGAACACAAUUUCUUCAGACCACAACUCACCAAAUUGGCUAAAGGAGGCAAAGGGAAAUGCUGAAGUUUAACAAGGAAAGAAAACAGACAGAAGAACACAAACCACAUGGUCAGGGAAUAUCCAACAAGGAUCUUUUACUCCCUUUCCACCGACAUUGUCCUGCUGCUCCAUCCCAUUCCCCUCUCUCAUCUAACCUCUACUGAUGCUGAACUCUUCUGCCCAAUCCACAUAUGGCAUGCUUUGAAACUCACUGCUCUAUACCAUUUAACCACAGUCCUCUUCUUUAAAAUUGAAUGACUGACAUAUAAUUUCAGAAGUCUCAGACUGACCCAGCAACUGAGAAUGAGCAGAAGCAGAAGCUUAGACACAGCUUUAAAACUGCAGCAUAUGUUUGUGAGCCAAUUGCAUGGUCAAGAAAUGUUGGCUGGGACUUUAGAUAUUUCAUGAAUAUUGUGAAGUCAUUUCAUGAAACCAGAUUUGGGGUGGUAGGGGUGAGCAGUGGGGUUUUUCUUGUUCCUUUGACUGAAGAGGCUCGUGUUUCUGGCACUGAAUACAUUCGAACAGUGGUAUGGAGACACCAAAAGGAAAACUGCCCAGGGACUGGACACAGUGCUCCAGAUGGGCUCUCACUUGAGUGGAAAAAAUCAUCUCCCUCAACCUGCUGACAACACUCUUCCCAAUGCAGCCCAGGAUAUUGUUGACCUUCGAU